UGGAUAUCGUCUGCUGGUCAGUUCUUGAAGCUUUUAAUUACUGAUCUUACUUCGAAACUAUCCCUGUUCCCACCCACAACGCUUUUAAGAACGUUGGCUACAUCGUCAAGUUUAAUGGAGAAAAUUACAGUGAUUAUCGAUCUGAAUUUCUGUCCAAGAUGGAACAACUUGGGAUGAAGACCAUGAUUAAUGCACCAGAAGGAAGAGUUGAAAUACUCCCUACAGAAGUGAGAAACGACAAUAUACGUGACAAACAAGACCUGGGCAACAUUGCAGUAACUCACGUGCCCGGAAAGGAUGAACCUGCUGACAUGUUCACCAAGCCAUUAUUACCAAGACCUGCGUUUAAAAAAAUUUUUUUCGUGAACUCAUUGGAAUCCAAUCAGCCACGGAGUAAACAAUUUUUCUUUAACGGGUUGUGAAUGAAAAUAAAUUUUCGGUCAUGUAUGGAAUGACUGAAUCACAGCUAUAAUACAAAAUAUUUGACAUGCA